AAAAUUUUAAAGGUCGAACAGACCUAAACUUUUAACUUCUACGCCAAAAUUUCAUUUUAAUCCAACAUCGAGGUCGCAAACUUUCCUUUCGAUAAGAACUCUGAAGAAAAAUUACGCUGUUAUCCCUAAGGUAAUUUAUCUUUCAAUCUAUAAAUUAAGAUCAAUUAUACAUAAAUUUAUGAUUUCAUAAAUAAAAAGUUCACUAAAUUUUUAUAUCACCCCAACAAAAUAAUAAAUCAUAAUUUUAAAUUUAAAUCUUAAUAAAAAUUAUAAUAUAUUUAUAAAACUCUAUAGGGUCUUCUCGUCUUUUUAAAAAAUUUAAGCUUUUUAACUUAAAAAUAAAAUUCAAAAAUUAAAAUUGAGACAGAAUUUUUCUUAUUAAACCAUUCAUUCCAGCUUUCAAUUAAAAAACUAAUGAUUAUGCUACCUUUGCACAGUCAAUAUACUGCGGCUAUUUAAUUUUCAUUGAGCAGGUCAGACUUUAAAUUAUAAUCAAAAAGAC
rnacentral:rRNA from 1 species